rnacentral:rRNA from 1 species
AUUGAACGCUGGCGGCAGGCCUAACACAUGCAAGUCGAGCGGAGCGGCGGACGGGUGAGUAAUGCCUAGGUAUCUGCCUGGUAGUGGGGGAUAACGUCCGGAAACGGGCGCUAAUAUCGCAUACUAUCAGAUGAGCCUAGGUCGGAUUAGCUAGUUGGUGGGGUAAAGGCCUACCAAGGCGACGAUCCGUAACUGGUCUGAGAGGAUGAUCAGUAACACUGAAGCUGAGACACGGUCCAAACUCCUACGGGAGGCAGCAGUGGGGAAUAGUGGGCAAGGGGCGAAAGUCUGAACCAGCCAUGCCGCGUGUGUGAAGAAGGUCAUCGGAUUGUAAAGCACGUUAAGUUGGGAGGCGUUACCAACAGAAUAAGCACCGGCUAACUUCGUGCCAGCAGCCGCGGUAAUAC